GCUAAGUCUGUGCCAGCUGCCACGGUAAAUCAGGGGGUGGAGGCGUUAAUUGGAAGUACUGGGCUGAAAUGGCGCGUAGGUGGUUCAGGAAGAUGGGUGUGAAAUCCCCGGGCUUAACCUGGGAACUGCUUUCAUAACUGCUGAGCUAGAGUACGGUAGAGGGUAGUGGAAUUUCCUGUGUAGCGGUGAAAUGCGUAGAUAUAGGAAGGAACACCAGUGGCGAAGGCGACUACCUGGACUGAUACUGACACUGAGGUGCGAAAGCGUGGGGAGCAAACAGGAUUAGAUACCCCUGUAGUC
rnacentral:rRNA from 1 species